rnacentral:tRNA from 1 species
GCCUUCGUAGUGUAACUGUAACACAUUUGGCGCGUAUUCGAGAGGUCUAGGUUCGAGUCCCGGCGAGGGCA